rnacentral:rRNA from 1 species
UUAAGUUAGAAAGGGCGCACGGUGGAUGCCUUGACACUAGGAGUCGAUGAAGGACGGGACUAACGCCGAUAUGCUUCGGGGAGCUGUAAGUAAGCUUUGAUCCGAAGAUUUCCGAAUGGGGAAACCCACCAUACGUAAUGGUAUGGUAUCCUUAUCUGAAUACAUAGGGUAAGGAAGACAGACCCAGGGAACUGAAACAUCUAAGUACCUGGAGGAAGAGAAAGCAAAUGCGAUUUCCUGAGUAGCGGCGAGCGAAACGGAACAUAGCCCAAACCAAGAGGCUUGCCUCUUGGGGCUUGUAGGACAUUCUAUACGGAGUUACAAAGGAACGAGGUAGACGAAGCGACCUGGAAAGGUCCGUCGUAGAGGGUAACAACCCCGUAGUCGAAACUUCGUUCUCUCUUGAAUGUAUCCUGAGUACGGCGGAACACGUGAAAUUCCGUCGGAAUCUGGGAGGACCAUCUCCCAAGGCUAAAUACUCCCUAGUGAUCGAUAGUGAACCAGUACCGUGAGGGAAAGGUGAAAAGCACCCCGGAAGGGGAGUGAAAGAGAUCCUGAAACCGUGUGCCUACAAAUAGUCAGAGCCCGUUAACGGGUGAUGGCGUGCCUUUUGUAGAAUGAACCGGCGAGUUACGAUCCCGUGCGAGGUUAAGCUGAAGAGGCGGAGCCGCAGCGAAAGCGAGUCUGAAUAGGGCGUUUAGUACGUGGUCGUAGACCCGAAACCAGGUGAUCUACCCAUGUCCAGGGUGAAGUUCAGGUAACACUGAAUGGAGGCCCGAACCCACGCACGUUGAAAAGUGCGGGGAUGAGGUGUGGGUAGCGGAGAAAUUCCAAUCGAACCUGGAGAUAGCUGGUUCUCCCCGAAAUAGCUUUAGGGCUAGCCUUAAGUGUAAGAGUCUUGGAGGUAGAGCACUGAUUGGACUAGGGGUCCUCAUCGGAUUACCGAAUUCAGUCAAACUCCGAAUGCCAAUGACUUAUCCUUAGGAGUCAGACUGCGAGUGAUAAGAUCCGUAGUCAAAAGGGAAACAGCCCAGACCGCCAGCUAAGGUCCCAAAGUGUGUAUUAAGUGGAAAAGGAUGUGGAGUUGCUUAGACAACUAGGAUGUUGGCUUAGAAGCAGCCACCAUUUAAAGAGUGCGUAAUAGCUCACUAGUCGAGUGACUCUGCGCCGAAAAUGUACCGGGGCUAAAUACACCACCGAAGCUGCGGAUUGAUACCAAUGGUAUCAGUGGUAGGGGAGCGUUCUAAGGACAGUGAAGUCAGACCGGAAGGACUGGUGGAGUGCUUAGAAGUGAGAAUGCCGGUAUGAGUAGCGAAAGACGGGUGAGAAUCCCGUCCACCGAAUGCCUAAGGUUUCCUGAGGAAGGCUCGUCCGCUCAGGGUUAGUCAGGACCUAAGCCGAGGCCGACAGGCGUAGGCGAUGGACAACAGGUUGAUAUUCCUGUACCACCUCUUUAUCGUUUGAGCAAUGGAGGGACGCAGAAGGAUAGAAGAAGCGUGCGAUUGGUUGUGCACGUCCAAGCAGUUAGGCUGAUAAGUAGGCAAAUCCGCUUAUCGUGAAGGCUGAGCUGUGAUGGGGAAGCUCCUUAUGGAGCGAAGUCUUUGAUUCCCCGCUGCCAAGAAAAGCUUCUAGCGAGAUAAAAGGUGCCUGUACCGCAAACCGACACAGGUAGGCGAGGAGAGAAUCCUAAGGUGUGCGAGAGAACUCUGGUUAAGGAACUCGGCAAAAUGACCCCGUAACUUCGGGAGAAGGGGUGCUUUCUUAACGGAAAGCCGCAGUGAAUAGGCCCAAGCGACUGUUUAGCAAAAACACAGCUCUCUGCGAAGCCGUAAGGCGAAGUAUAGGGGGUGACACCUGCCCGGUGCUGGAAGGUUAAGGAGAGGGGUUAGCGUAAGCGAAGCUCUGAACUGAAGCCCCAGUAAACGGCGGCCGUAACUAUAACGGUCCUAAGGUAGCGAAAUUCCUUGUCGGGUAAGUUCCGACCCGCACGAAAGGUGUAACGAUUUGGGCACUGUCUCAACCAGAGACUCGGUGAAAUUAUAGUACCUGUGAAGAUGCAGGUUACCCGCGACAGGACGGAAAGACCCCGUGGAGCUUUACUGUAGCCUGAUAUUGAAUUUUGGUACAGUUUGUACAGGAUAGGCGGGAGCCUUUGAAACCGGAGCGCUAGCUUCGGUGGAGGCGCUGGUGGGAUACCGCCCUGACUGUAUUGAAAUUCUAACCUACGGGUCUUAUCGACCCGGGAGACAGUGUCAGGUGGGCAGUUUGACUGGGGCGGUCGCCUCCUAAAGUGUAACGGAGGCGCCCAAAGGUUCCCUCAGAAUGGUUGGAAAUCAUUCGUAGAGUGCAAAGGCAUAAGGGAGCUUGACUGCGAGACCUACAAGUCGAGCAGGGACGAAAGUCGGGCUUAGUGAUCCGGUGGUUCCGCAUGGAAGGGCCAUCGCUCAACGGAUAAAAGCUACCCCGGGGAUAACAGGCUUAUCUCCCCCAAGAGUCCACAUCGACGGGGAGGUUUGGCACCUCGAUGUCGGCUCAUCGCAUCCUGGGGCUGUAGUCGGUCCCAAGGGUUGGGCUGUUCGCCCAUUAAAGCGGUACGCGAGCUGGGUUCAGAACGUCGUGAGACAGUUCGGUCCCUAUCCGUCGUGGGCGUAGGAAAUUUGAGAGGAGCUGUCCUUAGUACGAGAGGACCGGGAUGGACGCACCGCUGGUGUACCAGUUGUUCUGCCAAGGGCAUAGCUGGGUAGCUAUGUGCGGAAGGGAUAAGUGCUGAAAGCAUCUAAGCAUGAAGCCCCCCUCAAGAUGAGAUUUCCCAUAGCGUAAGCUAGUAAGAUCCCUGAAAGAUGAUCAGGUUGAUAGGUUCGAGGUGGAAGCAUGGUGACAUGUGGAGCUGACGAAUACUAAUAGAUCGAGGACUUAACCAU